UACGUAGGGUGCGAGCGUUAAUUCGGAAUUGUAACGUGGGCGUAAAGCGUGCGCAGGCGGUUCAUUGUGUCGGCGGUCGAAAGCCCCGGGCUCAACCUGGGAAUGGCCGUUGAAACUGGCGAACUGGAGUGUGGCAGAGGGGGGUGGAAAUUCCGCGUGUAGCAGUGAAAUGCGUAGAGAUGCGGAGGAACACCGAUGGCGAAGGCAGCCCCCUGGGCUGACACUGACGUCAGGCACGAAAAGCGUGGGGGAGCAAACAGG
rnacentral:rRNA from 1 species